GGGGUUGUGGCUCAGUUGUAAAGCACUCAUCUGGCGUGUGUGAGGCACUGGGUUCAAUCCUCAGCACCACA
rnacentral:tRNA from 1 species